GAAGGGUCUCGCUCAUUUCCUGACUUCCUGUAGACCCACAGGUUGGUGGGCGUACAAGAAGCGAAGCAAUGGUGCCCUGUUACUGCGGGGAGUUGAAGAAAGUGAGUUUCACGUGGUUUACAUGGAUCUGUGGAGCUGGAGAGACUUUUCGGGUUCUCCACAAGACCCACUUUCACUAGCUGUAUCCGUCGCUCGUUUCCAAAACUAUAAUCUCAAUUUCCACAUGUGCCACGCAUUGUUACAGGAACUGUUCAACUCACCCUUCUUAUCACACAGUGAUGACUCAAACACAAAACCACAGCUGAAAAAGGCCCCCCAUAACUCACAAUAAACUGGAAAUGUUGACGUGGUUUCUGGUGUUUUUGGUAAAGUGUUCCUGUUGUGUGCAAUUGUCAAAAACGAAGAUGGAAAAUAUUAGCUCUGUGUGUGAUGUACUUUCCUUAACCCAGUAUUGGUUACUUACACCUAUUUAUGUUGAUGAUGUCCACGUUUAGACAUGACAGGAAGAAAUAAUUCUUUACAAAUGAAAGUAUCUGAAAAAUUACAGUAAAAUGAAAAAAGAGUAAAGGAUGUUUCCGGUGAGAGCGAGUGGGUGUCAUCUGUAGAUCAAUUUCCUGUAAGUCUUCUGCUUUCACUUCAACAUGUCGAGAAGACACAAAAAAGCUAAAUAGUGAGAAUAAAUACUAUGCCUUAUCUACUUGCUUUGCUCUUCUUCCUGCUGGAGAUAUGUAAUUUAGGACUUGGUUUGCCGACAGCUACCAUCCAUGGCCUUGUUAACGGAUCUGUGCUUUUGCCCUCUCUAUCUCACUACCCCAACCCAUCGGAAAUCCAGUGGAUGUAUAAUGGCAUGCUGGUAGUGUGGUAUGACAACGGCACAGUGCAACCACUUGUGAAAUCCAGAUUUGACAACAGAUUCAACCUGUUUCAAGGGAACGGCUCUCUGCAGAUCCAUGGGCUCCAAAUUCAAGACUCAGGCAUCUUUGCUGUAAAUAUAUUGAGAGAUUUAAACCAAACCUAUACAGAGGUACAUCUCUUAGUGCAUGAAAAGAUCAACACGCAUCUGGAGCUGCUGUCCAACGUGUCCGGGGAUGGCCACUGUGCUGUGGUGGUGAACUGUAGUACAAUUCUGAACCAUUGGAAGGUGGCAAAGUGCAACAGAACUGCAUGUCGGGAGACCGACAGCGGGGGGAUGGACAAGGAGUCCAGCAGCGUUCACAUUGACAUCUCAGCUGACAAACUCAUCUCCUGUAAGAGCAGCAACCCAGUCACCUCUGGCAGCAUCUCUCUCAUAGAUCUAUGCCCUGAUGAUCACAGCACAGGAUCGAAUGGCUUUUAUCUCCCAGUCCUGUGUGAAGCACAACUGAUUCUCCAGCAACUCCGUUUAUUGCUGUUGAUUUCAUCCCUAAGAUGGGCAACGCCAGCACUGGGGAGACAAUAA
rnacentral:lncRNA from 1 species